rnacentral:rRNA from 1 species
UAAUACAUGCAAGUCGAGCGAACGGACGAGAAGCUUGCUUCUCUGAUGUUAGCGGCGGACGGGUGAGUAACACGUGGAUAACCUACCUAUAAGACUGGGAUAACUUCGGGAAACCGGAGCUAAUACCGGAUAAUAUUUUGAACCGCAUGGUUCAAAAGUGAAAGACGGUCUUGCUGUCACUUAUAGAUGGAUCCGCGCUGCAUUAGCUAGUUGGUAAGGUAACGGCUUACCAAGGCAACGAUGCAUAGCCGACCUGAGAGGGUGAUCGGCCACACUGGAACUGAGACACGGUCCAGACUCCUACGGGAGGCAGCAGUAGGGAAUCUUCCGCAAUGGGC